rnacentral:misc_RNA from 1 species
CCGAGUAAAAGGUCUUCGGGCCUAACUCCCACCCUGUGUCUAUGUGAUCUUCGGCAAGACGUCUGAGGCGUCAGCCACAAGCCACUGGCGUUUGAGCGAGUGUGUGCUUGCCGAAGUCUAAAACUCUAUUUUGACGUCUGAGUCUACAAGAAAUAAAACA